rnacentral:tRNA from 1 species
GCCUCCGUGGCCGAGUGGGUAUCACACUAGACUUGUCUGCGCUGGGCGGAGGUCCCGGGUUCGAUUCCCGGCGGAGGCC